GAGAUCUGGAACGUUUUGGGGUACAGAGAUAGACAUACUAAUAUAAAAGUGUUUAAACCAGUAGAAAGACUAGAAAGUCAGUCUUCUUUUUUUCCAAAUUUGAUUGUAUGAAACAAUUCAACUGUCCAUCCCAACUCUAAAAAAUAACCAUGUCCUAUUUUUUGUUGCAUAGGCACUGUUAUGUUACCACAUUAUUCUAUUGGCACACAAAUUAAAUUACCUACUGUGCUGUGAAUCACGCACUGUACUCACUGUAAUCUUUGAGCUUAAUUUUGCCACAGCAAUAACUGAUUAACAUCCCAUUGCUUAUGCUAUCACUUAUAUGUAUUUUUUACUCUUUUCUGACAUGUUUGCUUCCACAAUCUCAAAAUUCUCCCUUUUCAUAUCAAAUUUCUAUAUCAAAAUAUUUUUCCUGAACUUCUAUUUCUAAUGUACAGUGCUAUGGCAUGCAUAACUUGUCUUAAAAACCAAUAAGUCAACAGAGUCCCUUUAAAUUGAUUCAUAGGAUUGUGCAGCAGCUCAAAUAAACAUUUAUUUGUGACUUUCUGAUGCUUUUCUGUUUCUGAAAUUUUAGAGGUUUGCUUUUUUUUCCAUUUCCUGAAAUCGGUGUGGAUUUUUUACGAGUAUCUCAUGAAUGUUCCUGGUUUUAACUAGAGGAUAGGGUGAUGACUUUUAUAAAUUACAGUCUGCAAUCACACCAUAGACUUUAGGGUCAAAGUGUGUCCUGUCAUUUAAUACAUUAUGUUUCAUUUCUUCUGUCAGAGUACUGAAAUGAAUGGACUCCCAUUGCCCUCAGCUAAUGACCUGCCUACACUAGCUGUGCAGUCCAUACAUGGGGAGGCAGUGCAAACUGCACAGGACAGUGGGCUGAAUCUUCUACCACAAGAUUUGCCUGUAAAUCCAGGCAGCCAUCUUUCCCCAUCAACAUCACCUGACAACCCAGGAAAUCCAGAGAGCACACGUUGUGCAUCAAUUCACAGGAUUAAGGUUGUUGAAGAUCUUUUGGCUGUAUUUAUGGACAGCAGCAUAAUACAUUUGACUCUAAAGAUGGACUUUGUAAAUGAAAAGGCAACUGAUGAUGCUGGAGUGUCAAGAGAAGUUUACACUGCAUUCUGGGAACAAUUUCUUGAACAGUGUGAAGGGGAAACGGAGCGAGUGCCAAGGAUGGAUAUGGGUGAAAGGAUUAUUAGACCAUGGUGUCAUGCCAGUGAGGCUAUCAAAGGCCUUCAUCUUAGCCUGCAUUCAUGGCAUUGACUCAGUUGAUGUAGACAUCCUGAUGACAUCAUUUCUCAACUACCUUCCUCCUGUUGAGAGAUCAGCUGUUGAGAAGGCUCUUCAGGGCACAAUGGAGGAAAGUGAUGAAGAAGACUUGCUUGACCUCUUUACAAGGAUGGGUUCCCAUUUCAUACCUACAAAGAACAGCAUGCAACCUGCCAUAGAAACAAUGGCUCACAAAGCUAUUCUACAAGAGGCAAAAUACAUAAUUGAUUGCUUCUCCACACCCAUGGCACUUUUACAGCAGAAACUAUCAGACAAGGAAAGUGUGUUGUCUCUGUAUGAGUCAAAGAAAGCCACAGGCAAAAGAGUGUUGCAACUUUUUGAAAACAACAAAGAUGGUGCUGUCUCAGAGAGAGCAGGCAACCUUUAACCAUCUCCAACGUUAUGUGAAAAAUGCUGACCAAACCAAAGCUGAAAAAAUCCUGCGUUUCUGUUCUGGUUCUUCUGUCAUAUGUGUUGACAAAAUUAUGGUAUGUUUUAAUGCUGAAACUGGACUUGACAGAAGGCCUGUUGCUCAUACCUGUGGUGCUACCCUUGAAGUACCAUGCACAUACAGCUCUUACCCUUUGAAAUGGACAUCCACUGAACUUGAGAGCAGAGUCCUGAUCAGGCCUCUUAGUAACAGGCCUCUUUAUUGUAUGGUUGGUUAUAUUUUGUUUAAAAUUCUUGUUUGUUUUGUCAUUGAAACAUUUGAUGCACUGAACCCUGUGUAGAGCAGUCUGCAAUUAUAUUCUCUUUUUGUGCAAUACUACACCACCAUACUUCACAUGGAUUUUAUUUUUUGAAUUAUGGUUUAAAAAUGACUGCAUAUUUUAUUUCCAUCAGUUUGACUCUAUCAUGAGCUUCAUUGUUGAGCUUUUUUUUUAAGAUACAAUGAGUUAUUACAGAGUUGUCCUUCACUGAUAUAAUUGUUGAUGUUAAUGUGUUAACAAGUGAUACCUGUUUGAUUAUUCAGGGGAAAACAGUUUGAAGGUUAAUGUUUACAAAAUCUGUAGCUGGUGUGGCCUGUGUAAAACUUGGCUAUUAUCUUACCUCAGCACUGCAUUAUAACAUUGUAUCUUCUUAGAAAUAAUGUGUGUGCAUUUUUGCCAUGAAGUGACCUUUAUGCAGAUUGCAAUUUUUUUCAGAUUUUUAAGUUCUCAAUUGGUCUUAAUUACUAAAAACAAACUGAUAAGGCACAUUUUUGUUUUAUUCAUGGUUGCAAGACAGGAUUUCAUGCUGGGAAAAAAUACAGGAUAAUUUAGUAAUAAAAAUAUUAACACUGUUAACAAAAAUAUCAAGUGCUCAUUCUGUUUUCUACCCCUCUGACAUUUCACAGCACAGGUUGUUCAUGCAGAUUAUCUUGAUUGUGUAUUUCUGUCAACUAGAUGUCACUUGAUGCUUGUACUACUUGAUUCUAGAAGUAAUAAAAGUCCUGUUAAUUAUCACA